GUGCUUACUUCGGCAGCACAUAUACUAAAAUCGGAACGAUACAGAGAUUAGCAUGGCCCCUACGCAAGGAUGACACGCAAAUUCAUGAAGCAUUCCACAUUUAA